AAAGCUUUAAGUUAAUUAAACUAUUAACCUUCAAAGUUAAAAUUAUAAAGAUUUUAUAAGCUUUA
rnacentral:tRNA from 1 species